rnacentral:rRNA from 1 species
GUGGGGAAUCUUAGACAAUGGGCGCAAGCCUGAUCUAGCCAUGCCGCGUGAGUGAUGAAGGCCCUAGGGUUGUAAAGCUCUUUCAGCUGGGAAGAUAAUGACGGUACCAGCAGAAGAAGCCCCGGCUAACUCCGUGCCAGCAGCCGCGGUAAUACGGAGGGGGCUAGCGUUGUUCGGAAUUACUGGGCGUAAAGCGCGCGUAGGCGGACUGAAAAGUUGGGGGUGAAAUCCCGGGGCUCAACCUCGGAACUGCCUUCAAAACUAUCAGUCUGGAGUUCGAGAGAGGUGAGUGGAAUUCCGAUUGUAGAGGUGAAAUUCGUAGAUAUUCGGAGGAACACCAGUGGCGAAGGCGGCUCACUGGCUCGAUACUGACGCUGAGGUGCGAAAGCGUGGGGAGCAAACAGGAUUAGAAACCCGGGUAGUCC